GGAAAAAGAAAAAGGUUCUUUAUCUUCUUCUCUAAGAUAACCCUCUGCUGUCGCCGCCUCAGUUGAAGUUAAGAUUGGUCUCUUUGGAAGCUUGAGGAUUUAAAGUGAUGAAUUUUUCAUCAAGGAUAAGAGGAUUUUCCAACCUCCAUCUGAGUAACCUUGGAUCAAGUUAAUUGGAGAAUUUUACUGUCAACUAGGGAGUACCUUGUUUGGCUAAAAUCUCCAGGCGAAGGUAAAGGUAGAGGAAAGCUGGCGAGCGACAGAGAAGGAUCCGUGACAUGCCAUAUGGGGACUCAGUUUUGCUUCCGCGUUUAUGUUUCAGUGUUUUAAUAUUCCGUUUUUAAUGAAAAUUUAUUCUUCCCUCGUUUCAAAAAAG